rnacentral:rRNA from 1 species
GAUGAACGCUGGCGGCGUGCCUAAUACAUGCAAGUCGAGCGAACGGACGAGAAGCUUGCUUCUCUGAUGUUAGCGGCGGACGGGUGAGUAACACGUGGAUAACCUACCUAUAAGACUGGGAUAACUUCGGGAAACCGGAGCUAAUACCGGAUGAUAUUUUGAACCGCAUGGUUCAAAAGUGGAAGACGGUCUUGCUGUCACUUAUAGAUGGAUCCGCGCUGCAUUAGCUAGUUGGUAAGGUAACGGCUUACCAAGGCAACGAUGCAUAGCCGACCUGAGAGGGGGAUCGGCCACACUGGAACUGAGACACGGUCCAGACUCCUACGGGAGGCAGCAGUAGGGAAUCUUGCGCAAUGGGCGAAAGCCUGACGGAGCAACGCCGCGUGAGUGAUGAAGGUCUUCGGAUCGUAAAACUCUGUUAUUAGGGAAGAACAUAUGUGUAAGUAACUGUGCACAUCUUGACGGUACCUAAUCAGAAAGCCACGGCUAACUACGUG